GCCCACCAGAUUCCUUUCCAUCAGACCUGGACCCUGGUCUGAGCGAUUAUAAAGGAGGGAAAGUAAAACUGAAAUUGCCUUAAAUUCUUUUGCCACACAUAAGCUAGUCGCAAACAACA
rnacentral:snoRNA from 1 species